UACAGAGGGUGCAAGCGUUGUUCGGAAUUAUUGGGCGUAAAGCGCGUGUAGGCGGCUUUGCAAGUCGGGUGUGAAAGCCCUCAGCUCAACUGAGGAAGUGCGCCCGAAACUGCAGAGCUUGAGUGCCGGAGAGGGUGGCGGAAUUCCCCAUGUAGAGGUGAAAUUCGUAGAUAUGGGGAGGAACACCGGUGGCGAAGGCGGCCACCUGGACGGUAACUGACGCUGAGACGCGAAAGCGUGGGGAGCAAACAGG
rnacentral:rRNA from 1 species